UACGUAGGGGGCGAGCGUUGUCCGGAAUUACUGGGCGUAAAGGGCGUCUAGGCGGCACGAUACGUCGGUAGUGAAAUACACGGGCUCAACCCGUGGGGUGCUAUCGAAACGGUCGAGCUUGAGGGCCGGAGAGGGAAGCGGAAUUGCCGGUGUAGCGGUGAAAUGCGUAGAGAUCGGCAGGAACACCAGUGGCGAAGGCGGCUUCCUGGACGGUACCUGACGCUGAAGCGCGAAAGCGUGGGGAGCAAACGGG
rnacentral:rRNA from 1 species